UUUCAAAGUUUCUGUUAUUUGACAGAUGAUAGGGAACUGUUUUAUAAAUUGUAAAAAUCCUCACAGUGGCCUAAGAGAUGGGACUUUCUUUUUUUCUUGGCUGCAUGGCAUAUGGAACUUCCCUGGCCAGGGAUCAAAUGCAUGACCCCUGCAUUGGAAGCAUGGAGUCUUAGCCACUGGAUCACCAGGGAAGUCCUGAGAGAUUUUUCCAUCUUUGAAGAUUCUUUGAAGAGUUCAUGACUGUUGCAUGAGUAAUAUCCCACUUGUAAUGAGGACAUAAACCUGGUACUGUUACCAGUAUAACGCAUUUGGAAUCAACUCCCAUCAGGGUUGUCCCAGUGCCCUGGCUUUGAGUGCCCUGUUUCAUGCAUUGAACUUGGACUCAUCAUCUAUUUCACAUAUGGUAAUAUACAUGUUUCAGUGCUAUUCUCUCAAAUCAUCCCACCCUUGCCUUCUCCCACAGAGUCCAAAAGUCUGUUCUUUUGCUGUCUUGCAUAUAGGGUCAUUGUUACCAUCUUUCUAAAUUCCAUAUAUGUGUGUUAAUAUACUGUAUUGGUGUUUUUCUUUCUGGCUUACUUCACUCUGUAUAAUAGGCUCC
ensembl:lncRNA